rnacentral:lncRNA from 1 species
AAUAUAGAAAUAGCUUCUACUAAUAAGCUCCAAUGUUUCACAUAUUUUUUUGGUAAAAAUAAAUCUAAAACUGGAAGACUAUAAAAUAGCAGCCAUAUUACUAACUCAUGAGCUUUAAAGUGGACUCGAUCUGACAUUUUACGAGGAGUCCUAGAAACAUCCAUUGAUGGCGUAAAUGUAAGAAGAAUUUUAUCAAUAACAUCAAUAUUAUUACCAAGGUAGAAAUCUUUUUCUGCGUAGCUAUUAUCGAACCACAACUUUAAAAAUUGUCUAACUACUCCAAGAGGGACACAAUGCAUCCAAUCUACGUCAAGGCAUCUAAUAAUAUCAAAGCUGGGUAUAUCGCACAGCGCCGAUCUAUGUUUUAUACCUUUUUCACGUAGGUCAGCAUGAAUAAGUAUUUCUAAAUGAGAUCUGAGGCCUUCUCCAUGGGCGUUGCCAUUAUCAUCAAUUGGGUAGACACGUACGUGACCUUUUCCUUUAGCAAUUUCCUCACCUUCGUGUUUACAUAGACCACAUCCAUAAAUUCCUCGAAAAGUUUUAGACCCUCUUAAUUCCGGCCGUUCAACUGAAUCACAAACGCCCAUUAAAAUUCUACAUUUUUUAUGAAAAGUUGAGCCACCAUAAACAUACUCAAAUCCUUCAUUAAACAGUGAUGCUGAUUCACGUACAAAGGGCUUUAAGUACUCAUUCAUUAUAGGUUUCUUUGAACCUAAAUACACACUUACUAACAUAACUCUUUGUUUACGCUUGUGUGGAUGAAUUUCAUUAAUGGUACAUAAAAUAGGUGUUAUUGAUGUCAUUGAACUUUUGAAGAGUGGAGUUCCAUCAAUACUGAAGUUAACACUGAUCAUACCUUGGAGAUCUUCCGUUGAAUAAUUAUUUUUAUAAAGAUAACCAUCAAGUAUAUCUUCUAAGGCAUACGAACAUUUUUUUUGCCGACGAAUGGGGUAUGACAGAUCUUCAUGGUGAUGCUCACAAAAAUGCUGUAACUGAUACUUUAAUGAUAAGUACAAAAAAACAUUUCCUAAUUGUUUAUUUGUUGAACAAUUUAUUUCGAGUUUACACUCAUCACAAUAUAAACUUUGAUCGUCUUCAACGUCAUUCUCAUUCAAAGAUUGAGUGUUCUCAGCCCCAACGUAAACUCCACAUAAUGGACACAAAUGAUGAAUUUCGAUAGGUAUCGAAUACUCAUUAACAAUUUUCUUGAAAUGAUAUAUUGACGUGAAAGCUAAUGGGGUCUCAAUCAUAGCAUCAAUCAAAUCAGCUAUAUGAGUGAUUAUAGCAUUAUCCAAAUUUUUAGCUAUUUUUGUAGCUAAAAUUAACAGAGUUCUUAUUAGAACGUCGAUAGUAUAGGUACUAUUGUCUUUAUAACUGUUAAUAGUGCUGUUUAAAUCUUGAUCAUUUAUUUGCUCAUCAGAGUUAUUAUGCUGAGGAGAACCAAUAUAAACGUGAGCAUCAUUGUCACCGGCUAACCUUUCGCUAUUGUCUUCAUCUUCACUUCCGGAAGAAUCAUCUGAUGAAUUUUCGUUGCUAGACGAAUAGUAGUUGUAAUUAUGAUCCAAUACUCAAAAAUUAUUUGCCAAUAAAAUUUUACGUCACCAGUUAAAUUGCAUUAUUAACACAAUAAUCUAUUAUAAACAUCUUGGUCGGAAAAUAUUUUGUGGAAUACAAUUCGUCGAAACGUUGCCCUCAUCAACAGUGUUAUUAAUUAUUGAAGAUAAAGAAGAUUGCUCGAGAGAAUCCAUUUCAAUUUCAUGGUGAUCUUGUACAGCUUGUAGCUCCUGUAAGCAAAAUAACGGCAUGAGAUUCACUGUAAAAACUCCAAGAACUAUGACCGCGGAAAACGCCAUUUUGAGUUUAGUCUUUAACUGCAGCUCAUGUUCUUUCUAUGCUUUCCUUGCGAUACGUUAUAAUUUAUU